rnacentral:rRNA from 1 species
GAUGAACGCUGGCGGCGUGCUUAACACAUGCAAGUCGAACGGGAUCCAUCAAGCUUGCUUGGUGGUGAGAGUGGCGAACGGGUGAGUAAUGCGUGACCGACCUGCCCCAUACACCGGAAUAGCUCCUGGAAACGGGUGGUAAUGCCGGAUGCUCCAGUUGAUCGCAUGGUCUUCUGGGAAAGCUUUCGCGGUAUGGGAUGGGGUCGCGUCCUAUCAGCUUGACGGCGGGGUAACGGCCCACCGUGGCUUCGACGGGUAGCCGGCCUGAGAGGGCGACCGGCCACAUUGGGACUGAGAUACGGCCCAGACUCCUACGGGAGGCAGCAGUGGGGAAUAUUGCACAAUGGGCGCAAGCCUGAUGCAGCGACGCCGCGUGAGGGAUGGAGGCCUUCGGGUUGUAAACCUCUUU